GGAUGUAGCUCAGUGGUAGAAUGCUUGCCUAACAUGUACAAGGUCCUGGGUUCAAUCCCCAGUACCG
rnacentral:tRNA from 1 species